UACAGAGGUCUCAAGCGUUUGUUCGGGUUCAUUGGGCGUAAAAGGGUGCGUAGGCGGCGCGGUAAGUCGGGUGUGAAAUCUCGGAGCUUAACUCCGAAACUGCAUUCGAUACUGCCGUGCUUGAGGACUGGAGAGGAGACUGGAAUUUACGGUGUAGCGGUGAAAUGCGUAGAUAUCGUAAGGAAGACCAGUGGCGAAGGCGGGUCUCUGGACAGUUCCUGACGCUGAGGCACGAAGGUCAGGGGGAGCAAACGGG
rnacentral:rRNA from 1 species